rnacentral:rRNA from 1 species
UACGGGGGGGGCAAGCGUUGUUCGGAAUUACUGGGCGUAAAGGGCGCGUAGGUGGCGGGACAAGCGUGCGGUGAAAGCCUGGGGCUCAACCCCGGGUCGGCCGUGCGAACUGUUUUGCUUGAGCACUGUAGAGGCAGGCGGAAUUCCGGGUGUAGCGGUGGAAUGCGUAGAGAUCCGGAAGAACACCGGUGGCGAAGGCGGCCUGCUGGGCAGUAGCUGACACUGAGGCGCGACAGCGUGGGGAGCAAACAGG